rnacentral:rRNA from 1 species
CCUACGGGAGGCAGCAGUAGGGAAUCUUCCACAAUGGGCGAAAGCCUGAUGGAGCAACGCCGCGUGAGUGAAGAAGGUCUUCGGAUGGUAAAACCCUGUUGUUAGAGAAGAAAGUGCGUGAGAGUAACUGUUCACGUUUCGCCGGUAUCUAACCAGAAAGCCACGGCUAACUACGUCCCAGCAGCCGCGGUAAUACGUAGGUGGCAAGCGUUAUCCGGAUUUAUUGGGCGUAAGGGGAACGCAGGUGGUCUGUUACGUCUGAUGUGAAAGCCUUCGGCGUAAGCGGAGUAGUGCAUUGGAAACUGGGAGACUUGAGUGCAGAAGAGGAGAGUGGAACGCCAGGUGUAGCGGUUAAAUGCGUAGAUAUA